rnacentral:sRNA from 1 species
UAAAUAAAAUUGUAAAAAAAAAAACCAAAAA